rnacentral:rRNA from 1 species
GUGAAAAAGAACCUGAAACCGUGUACGUACAAGCAGUGGGAGCACGCUUAGGCGUGUGACUGCGUACCUUUUGUAUAAUGGGUCAGCGACUUAUAUUCUGUAGCAAGGUUAACCGAAUAGGGGAGCCGAAGGGAAACCGAGUCUUAACUGGGCGUUAAGUUGCAGGGUAUAGACCCGAAACCCGGUGAUCUAGCCAUGGGCAGGUUGAAGGUUGGGUAACACUAACUGGAGGACCGAACCGACUAAUGUUGAAAAAUUAGCGGAUGACUUGUGGCUGGGGGUGAAAGGCCAAUCAAACCGGGAGAUAGCUGGUUCUCCCCGAAAGCUAUUUAGGUAGCGCCUCGUGAAUUCAUCUCCGGGGGUAGAGCACUGUUUCGGCAAGGGGGUCAUCCCGACUUACCAACCCGAUGCAAACUGCGAAUACCGGAGAAUGUUAUCACGGGAGACACACGGCGGGUGCUAACGUCCGUCGUGAAGAGGGAAACAACCCAGACCGCCAGCUAAGGUCCCAAAGUCAUGGUUAAGUGGGAAACGAUGUGGGAAGGCCCAGACAGCCAGGAUGUUGGCUUAGAAGCAGCCAUCAUUUAAAGAAAGCGUAAUAGCUCACUGGUCGAGUCGGCCUGCGCGGAAGAUGUAACGGGGCUAAACCAUGCACCGAAGCUGCGGCAGCGACGCUUAUGCGUUGUUGGGUAGGGGAGCGUUCUGUAAGCCUGUGAAGGUGUACUGUGAGGUAUGCUGGAGGUAUCAGAAGUGCGAAUGCUGACAUAAGUAACGAUAAAGCGGGUGAAAAGCCCGCUCGCCGGAAGACCAAGGGUUCCUGUCCAACGUUAAUCGGGGCAGGGUGAGUCGACCCCUAAGGCGAGGCCGAAAGGCGUAGUCGAUGGGAAACAGGUUAAUAUUCCUGUACUUGGUGUUACUGCGAAGGGGGGACGGAGAAGGCUAUGUUGGCCGGGCGACGGUUGUCCCGGUUUAAGCGUGUAGGCUGGUUUUCCAGGCAAAUCCGGAAAAUCAAGGCUGAGGCGUGAUGACGAGGCACUACGGUGCUGAAGCAACAAAUGCCCUGCUUCCAGGAAAAGCCUCUAAGCAUCAGGUAACAUCAAAUCGUACCCCAAACCGACACAGGUGGUCAGGUAGAGAAUACCAAGGCGCUUGAGAGAACUCGGGUGAAGGAACUAGGCAAAAUGGUGCCGUAACUUCGGGAGAAGGCACGCUGAUAUGUAGGUGAAGUCCCUCGCGGAUGGAGCUGAAAUCAGUCGAAGAUACCAGCUGGCUGCAACUGUUUAUUAAAAACACAGCACUGUGCAAACACGAAAGUGGACGUAUACGGUGUGACGCCUGCCCGGUGCCGGAAGGUUAAUUGAUGGGGUUAGCGCAAGCGAAGCUCUUGAUCGAAGCCCCGGUAAACGGCGGCCGUAACUAUAACGGUCCUAAGGUAGCGAAAUUCCUUGUCGGGUAAGUUCCGACCUGCACGAAUGGCGUAAUGAUGGCCAGGCUGUCUCCACCCGAGACUCAGUGAAAUUGAACUCGCUGUGAAGAUGCAGUGUACCCGCGGCAAGACGGAAAGACCCCGUGAACCUUUACUAUAGCUUGACACUGAACAUUGAGCCUUGAUGUGUAGGAUAGGUGGGAGGCUUUGAAGUGUGGACGCCAGUCUGCAUGGAGCCGACCUUGAAAUACCACCCUUUAAUGUUUGAUGUUCUAACGUUGACCCGUAAUCCGGGUUGCGGACAGUGUCUGGUGGGUAGUUUGACUGGGGCGGUCUCCUCCUAAAGAGUAACGGAGGAGCACGAAGGUUGGCUAAUCCUGGUCGGACAUCAGGAGGUUAGUGCAAUGGCAUAAGCCAGCUUGACUGCGAGCGUGACGGCGCGAGCAGGUGCGAAAGCAGGUCAUAGUGAUCCGGUGGUUCUGAAUGGAAGGGCCAUCGCUCAACGGAUAAAAGGUACUCCGGGGAUAACAGGCUGAUACCGCCCAAGAGUUCAUAUCGACGGCGGUGUUUGGCACCUCGAUGUCGGCUCAUCACAUCCUGGGGCUGAAGUAGGUCCCAAGGGUAUGGCUGUUCGCCAUUUAAAGUGGUACGCGAGCUGGGUUUAGAACGUCGUGAGACAGUUCGGUCCCUA